UACGUAGGGUGCGAGCGUUGUCCGGAAUUACUGGGCGUAAAGAGCUCGUAGGUGGUUUGUCGCGUUGUUCGUGAAAACCUGAGGCUUAACCUUGGGCGUGCGGGCGAUACGGGCAGACUGGAGUACUGCAGGGGAGACUGGAAUUCCUGGUGUAGCGGUGGAAUGCGCAGAUAUCAGGAGGAACACCGGUGGCGAAGGCGGGUCUCUGGGCAGUAACUGACGCUGAGACACGAAAGCGUGGGGAGCAAACAGG
rnacentral:rRNA from 1 species